CAGUGGAAAGGAAUCCUUAGUGUUUUCCUGAAUUUAUCUCAGUCUAUGUUUUACAGUAUAAACCUUCUAAAAUAGUUUUGUGUAUACAGGGUGUUUGAAUAUGAAACAAUACAGAAGAACUGCUUGAUUUUGAUACCUGCGAUAGUAUGCUUUUUAAUCAUAUAAUACAUAACAUAAAACAUUACAUGGUGGAAAUAAUUUUAACUAAUUAAAAAAAAAGUGGAAGUUCUACUUAGGAAAAACAAGUGAUUAAAAACAAGUAAAAACCAGUGGUAAUGAAACACUAAUACCAAGUAGUUUAAAGUCUAUAUUAUUUUGAGAAAAUUAUCACUUUGAAAUAAUUUUUUAAGUUUAGUGUGGGCCUGGGAUCAGGUGGGAUUUGGGGUGUGGGAUUUGAGCCCUCGCUCAUCUUAUCUGCACCUCUGUGUAUGCACGUACUGAAUGGGAUAAGUAUAGAACCUGCCUCCUCAAGGGAUUUAAUACCUGUUGGGGACAUAGGAUCAGGCCUGGUACUCAGAAAAACCCAGUGUGUCUUACUUUAUUUGUUGGGAAAACACUGGGUGCUAAUACAGAAAGUCUAGAUUGUGUGAUAAGGGACUACUCCUUGCCCCUUUAACAAGAUGACAGGGGAAGGGAAGGCGGGGGUUCCAUUUUUGGCUUGGUACCUUCCCUGAGGGUCUGGGUCUUGGGCUUCUCUGGGAGCCCCCUUUCCUGCCCCAGUCCUGGCUGUCACAUCCUUGCAGAAGGGAGUUGUGCUCUCCUCUUCUUUGCGGCUCAUUUGAAAGCAGGUAAGCUUUUCCCACCAGCAGUCCCCCUGUCCUUCCCUUCAUGUGUUUUGUUGUCCAGAAUCACAUGGCUUGCCUGCCCAUUUCUAAAUCAAAGGCAGUAAAAGUAGCUGCCUUGGUUUAGGCUAAUUGAGCGUGAUCUCCUGGGGCUGGGGCUGGAGCUGGGGUUUACCUUCUUUGAAACACAAUUGCUCAUCACGGAACACAGUCAGGGUUCCGUUUCAGCUAAAUAUGCUGAAUCUGACCAUUUUAUUGCAAGAUUAGGAGAAAAAAAAUUGGCAGACCAGAGUUUCUAAAAUAUGAUACAUUUAAUUAUUUCUAAAAAUAUAGCUUUGUCUUACUGUUGUGGUUGUAGACCUGCUUUUAAGAGAAGUAAUAUAGCUUUUCUUUGUAAUUUUGGUAUAAAAUGGUUUCUUUUUAAGCAAAAGGGAUACAUUGAGAAGCCACACAAACACCCUUUUCCCUCCCAAAACUAAGCCUUGAUUUGCUCCUGUUGAAGUUAUUUGAAAUAUUUGUUCCAUGAUAAGAAAGUUUGUUUUUUUUAAAUAAGCAUUUUCUUAGUCUAAGUAGCCUAUUGCAGAUGACAUUUGAUAACUGAUUCCUGAGCCUAAAAUCAUCUUAUUCCUUGGCUUAGGUUUAAGAAAUGAAGAUCCAUUCAUUAAGUUUAAUGAUUUCACAUCAGCAGGGUAGUUAACUAGCCUGAAAUCUACUUAACUGGACAAGAACAGCAAAAACAAAACAAAGCCCAUAUUAAAACUUUGGCUCUGCACAAUUAUUUGGGCAGAAGAGGACAAAUAGGUUAUGCUAGAUACACUGAAACUCUAGUCCAGCCAUCCUCAUUUAAUUCUGAAUUUAUUCGUUUAACUAACUGUUCCCAGGCUAGAGGUUGAAUCGGAACUGUAGCUGCCCAUCUAUGCCACACCAGAUCUGAGCCACAUCUUCGAUCUAUACCACAUCCUCAUGGAUACCAGUCAGGUUUGUUACCACUGAGCCACAGUGGGAACUCUCUUAAAAGCCAAAAACCCAACCAACCAACCAACAAAUGAACAAAAUUCUCAUUUCACUGAUGCUUAGAACCAUCCAGAUGACAUAGAUAAGUUGUUUUCCAGAAUAUGAGCUGAUCAGACUUUCUUAAUGACAAAAUUAGGAGGCAGCUUCUUCAGAAAUCUGGUUACAACAGCUGCACGCUGGUCCGUGAAAUGACUGCAGGGUCAUCCCAUUAGGACAUGGCGAAGCUCUAGCAAUUCCUGAUGUGGGAACUGGCCGGCCUUCAUGGUCAUGAGUUUAGGUUCUGGUGCUGCCAAGUAGUAAUUGGAACUUGGUUUGUUUGUUUAUUCUGUAGCACAGAGACCCCAAGUAAUCAAAUGAUUCUGGAUUAUCUGGUUAAAAAUAAGGAGGAGUAAGAAGUAUUCGGCCUCCAAAUUCUGCAGUUCUACAGUUUUCUACUAAAAAGAAGGGGAUUUGCUGAUAGGAUUUCCUAGUUGGCAGUUUUGCAGAACUUGCACAGAAGCAAACAUAAUUGUGUCACCUCUUGCAGCAGCAAGCGUAGAAACGAAAAACAUCAAUCGUCUUAAAAUUAAAUUUAGUUUUCAUUAUAAAAUGCCAUUGCUUUUCUUUCUAGCAGAAACCUGUCACAUGCACAAUAACACCAAAAAUAAAACCAAAACAGUCUUUGAAGAGACGUGUCACGCCACCUGGCUAUGCCAAGAGUAGAUUGUUUUGCUGUGCUUUGAUAAUGGGACGACUGCAGUUAUAACACUGUCUUAAAAUUAUUUGAGGUUUAAAACAUGAUGAAAGUAUCCUCUCUGUCUGUGACACAUCUUUUCCAUAAGCCCUACACGUAUUCUACUUUUAUUAUCAAAGAACUGUGGACUCAAAGCAUCAAGUUCAAGAACAAGACUGGAAUCCAGGGAGUUGGUGGACAUUCAUCUGAGGACACACGAGUUUCCCAGGGUACCUUGCCAGGCCGCUUUGGAUGGUGUUUUCUCAUGAGCACAACAGGUAGCAUUUUGUCCCUACGUAAACUGAGUGGCACACACCUCACUGAUGUGGCCAUGUCUGGGUGGUAUAAACUCUGCAGGCUUCUGUUUUCAGUAUAGACAAAGUGGGGAAGAUAAUGCCCACUUGGCAGAGACUGGCAUUGCAUGUGAAGAUCCAGUGAGAUGACACUUAUCAAAGUGCAGAUCCAGUUUGGGGUGGGUUGUAGGCACGAGUUAAGUUGAGUACGAACAGGCUUAAUGGCUACACCUCAGCGCCUCUUCCUAGCGUUGAGUCUCGGACUGUUUUUCUGAAGUAUUAUUUUCUCCUGGCACACUGGGCGUACUGUUUGGCAGGCUGGGCGGGUUCAUUUUCGUCCCUGGUGUAUUUCUCAGGCCCUCUUCAUCUUUUCCAGAAUUGGAUUCUUGCUUCUACGGCAUCUUAUCAGAAUUAGCGUAAAAUUUAAUCUUUGAAAAUCAUCUCUGGUUCUUUUCUGAAGAACAUAAUCUGACACGAAAAAGACAUUAGUGUUGCUCUCUGUGUCUGCGUCCGUUUUUUACACCCCCUUUUGUUUUUGGCAUGCACUCGUGGUUUUGAUAGGAUUAAAUCCGAGGGUACCGUUUAAGAAUGCUGAGUGUCUUACAGGGGGCCUCUGGCCACUUGCUGAGCAUCUCAGUUCUUUUGGGAUGCGAGUGGAAUUUGUCGGAAGCCCGGCUGCCAAGUGGCUUCUGGAGAGGGGUGUGCGAUUAGAGGGGUGCUAGUCAAUUCUCCUGUUCCUUUGGGGGACAGUCUUUGGUGCUGUGUGGAUUAACCUUGAUGGGGAAUCUGUUAGUAGCUGGUAAUUUUCAGCCGCUAGAACUAGUUGUUUAGAGCUUGCCCCGUGGAUACAGGUACCUGCGACCUGCAGGUACCUUUUCAUACAUUCACUGGAGACAGUCUUAAAGAUUUUUGUUGUGAGCCAUGCCAUUGAUUAUGACCAUGAAACGCAUACAGGCUUUCUCCUCUCUGUUCCCACCCGUCUUAUGUCAUUUUCUUUAGGAAAUGUUUUUUAUUUCUAUGUUCCAUGAACGGUGGAACGGCUCUCCUUUAAAAAAUCCUGCUUAAGAAAUUGCAUUACCGUCUUCGGCUGACGGUGUGUUGUUUUCACGACCCGCUGCCGGCAGCCUGCCUGUAGAAAUUGAAUCACUCGUAAGCCAGUUUUAAUUUUGGAAUUUUAUGAUCCAGGUAGGUAUAAUUUUUCAAAAUUAGUUUUAUACAGGCUUUUUUUCUAGCUGCCUUCAACAGGAUUCUGAAAUAGUCCUGAAAAAAAUUGCUCUUUUGCCCAGUGGUUUUAUGUUCUUUUCCCCCACUGAGGCCUGGGUCUAUGUCUGCCCUUUACUGUGUCAUUCAGGCUGUGUAUCUGAGAGCCACUUUUUUCCCUUCAGUUUUUCUUUUUCUUCUCUGCUCUUAUGCCUGAAAGGAGGUUUUUGAUCAGCUUUCGUCCAUAUCCGAACAAGUUAUAGAGACGAAGGGCUAAAUAAAUAAACAGUUUCCACAACACACCCCGUCCAUGACAGCACUUCAAGUGAGGGGUUUGUGUGGGGUGGGCUUUGGGGUUUUGCUUCAUGUAUUUGUAUAAAUAAAUAUUCCUUUGCCAUAAGAAUGUAUCACUUGAAAUAUUUUUCAUUUUUAAUGAAUCAAACUUCAUAACUUUGGAAAAUGGAGCAACAGUUCCUCUUUUUUUUUUUUUUUUUCUCUUUUACAAAUAGCAUAAUUCCAACAUUGUGAGAUAAAAUGGCCAUGUCGAUUUUAAUCAGAAUAAAGUUGAGCCCUUUCAGAAGCAAAGUGUGGCUCCUGGUGGCCAUCCCUCCCUUCUCUGAAGUCAUUCCUUACCCUUGUGUUGCCACCACUGUGUAUUUUUUUUUUAAUUUGAUUGGCACAUAGUUGACUUACAGUGUAGUAUUAGCUUUAGCGCACAGCAAAGCCAGCUAUAUAUAUAUAUCUAUGUAUAUCGCCAUACUUCUUCAGAUUCUUUUCUCAUAUAGGUUAUUACAGCGUUUGGAGUAGAUUUCCCAGGGCUGUGCAGUAGGUCCUUGUUACUUACCUAUUGCAUACUUAGUAGGGUGUAUAUGUUAAUUCCAACCUCUGAAUUUAUCCCUUCCCCCAAUUUUCCCCAUAAGUUUGGUUUUGACAUCUUUGCCUCUGUUUCUGUUUUGUGAUUAUGUUCUUUGGUGUUAUGUUUUAUUAGAUUCCAGAUAUUAGUGAUCUCAUGUGGUAUUUGUCUUUGACUUACUUAGUCUGAUGAUUUCUAGGUCCAUCCAUACUGCUGCACAUGGCAGUGUUUUGUUCUUUUGUACCGCUAAUACUCCAUUGUGCGUCUAUACCGCAUCUUCUUUAUUCACUCCUCUGUUGAUGGACAUUUAGGUUGCUUCCACCUCCUAGAGUAAUGAAAAUAAAAACAAAAAUAAACAAAUGGGACCUCGUUAGACUUAAAAGCUUUUGCACUGCAAUGGAAACCAUACAAACAAACAGAAAGAUAACCCACAGAAUGGGAGAAAAUCUUUGCAGAUGAAGCGAGGGCUGUGAGAUUAAUCUCCAAAAUAUGUAAACCUCUCAUGCAGCUUUUAGAUCAAAAAAACACCGCACUCAAAAAAUGGUCACAAGAUCUAAAUAGACAUUUCUCCAAAGAAAACAGGCAGAUGGCUGAAAAGCACAUGAAAAGAUGCUCAACAUCACAAGUUAGGUUUACCAACCUACCUGGGCUUGUUCUCCUGCAGCCCCUCCUCAUCCCUGGAGGAAGCUUCCCUAUGGCCACCAAUCUUCACCUCUUUUCUGUCUAUGGUCCCUCUAGGUCUUAGGACCUUGCCUUUAUAAGUGAUUUCUCUCUACAUUAUAUGUGUGUGUGUGUGUGUGUGUGUGUCUGCACCGGAUCUCUCAAGUCAGCAAAUAGAUGCUCCAUUAAUUACCCCACCCCUACCCCAAGAGGCCUCGUCUCCCUGUUGCCUCUGCCUGCCUUACUGUCCCUCCCAGUUCACAGAUGUGGUUCCUUCGUAUCUUUCAUGUAUCACGUCACAUCCUACUCCCAGGGGACCCUCCCUAAUCUUCAUGCUUGAAGGAAGCAGGCAUCCUCCUUACACUAUUGUCUCUCCUUUCAUCAUCCUUUUCUUUAUAACAUUUAUGAACCUGAAUUUAUCGUCAUUUCUGUUCCCAUGCACUAAAAUGGCACUGGCACUGUCUUGGUUACUGUUUGUUUGUAGUCAUCCCCCAUGUAUUUUUGAGUGAAUGAGUGUUUUGAUACAUUGAAAGGAAAAAGUCCAUAAUGUUUUUACUUUGUCUUGUGCCAUAUAUUACAGAUGGAUUCUUUGAUGGGUGGACUAGAUGGACCAUUUUUAUGUUCUAUGAUUAUGAUAUUGUGAUUUUUGUUAGUUAGGAGCUAAAGACUGCAGAUUAUAGGUAGCGCAAACCUGUUCACUAUUAAGACGUACAUAUUUAAUUAAACCUUGUAAAUACAGUCAUGCUUCUGAGUCAUCGAUGUUUGACUGUAUCACUGCUUGUUUUGCCAAUGGUGCCAGUUUGACUUCAAAAAACUUGAUUUGGGAAAAAGAAAAAAAAAAAA
rnacentral:lncRNA from 1 species